UACAGAGGUCUCAAGCGUUGUUCGGAUUCAUUGGGCGUAAAGGGUGCGUAGGCGGCGCGGUAAGUCGGGUGUGAAAUCUCGGAGCUUAACCUGGGAACUGCAUUUGUGACUGCACGGCUGGAGUGCGGCAGAGGGGGAUGGAAUUCCGCGUGUAGCAGUGAAAUGCGUAGAUAUGCGGAGGAACACCGAUGGCGAAGGCAAUCCCCUGGGCCUGCACUGACGCUGAGGGACGAAAGCUAGGGGAGCAAACAGG
rnacentral:rRNA from 1 species